GGCUCCAUAGUUCAGUUGUUAGAGCACUGGUCCGAUAAACCAGGGGUUGAGAGUUCCAUCUUCACUGGGGGCU
rnacentral:tRNA from 1 species